rnacentral:piRNA from 1 species
UNGCAAGUACAGGUGUCUAGGAAAGUGG